CUUUUGGCACGUCUUCCUUAGACCAUUGUCAUUCGACUCUUCAAGCGUAAGGAGAAAUAUCUAUACACGGCAAAGGACGAAGGUGGUCACAGAAGGGAGAUGACGACGCCCGGAGAGUUGUCAAGAAUUAUCCGCGGGAACAUCUACGAGUACGAGAAGACCCGCGAUGAGGCCAACGACAGGCAAUGCUUAGGCUAUGCAUUAGCUAUUAACGCGGUGGCGAGGCAGCUGACGCAAGCCCGUCUCUUCUACUGGAAUCGCACCGUACGUCAAAGUACCUACCCUCGAUCGGUAAAGGAGGUGAGGGCAGCCGGCAGGUGAAGGGUAUCGCCCAGGGUCACCGUCUUCACGACACGUUCCCGGGAGGCGUCGUGAGAAUCUCGGGGUUCAUCUUUGAGGAGAUCCGCGGUGUUUAAAACAGGUCAAAUUGUCAAAGGCAGUAUCACUAGAAAGGUCUAUUAGUACGUAGUUGUAAUCUGAAGUCUGUUUCAAAUACUAAGUAUCGUUAUUUAUUGUGCAUUGGUCUCACAUAGUAUGUUGGAAAUUACUAGUCGACAGUCUGCAGUAUCCAUGGAAACAAACCACUGUGUUCGUUACUUUGACUCUGCUCAUUGGAAACAACGAAACCAAUGGCAUCUGAUUUGUAACGUUAGUAUUUUGAUAUAACGUUCAUUAAGGCUUGGCAUAGACGAAGUGAAACCAGACACAUUAUUACUCACAUGUCCUGUACUUACUUUCAGUUUAUUUCAAGAAAUGUGUAUAUGAAGGAAAAGUUGAAUAUUUUCAUAACAGGCUACACUUCAAUAACAAGUAAACUGAACACAUUGUCAUGGAUUGAUUGUAAAUAGUGUGCAAGAUAUUUCAUAACGUUAACAUUUAUCCACUUGUUAACAAGGAUAUAGAGCUGAAAACGUAUGGGAAUAGUAUCUUUUGAUUGGUAGAAAAUGGUAUCUAUACAUGUAGUUCUGUAAAAUCUGUCUUGAAUUGUCACAGCUGAUUCAUUACAAAAUUCCUCUAUUCAAAUAGAAUCGUUGAGACCUCA